rfam:TPA: Bos taurus chromosome 14, whole genome shotgun sequence.
UCCCUGGUGGCUCAGACAGUAAAGAAUCUGCCUGAAAUGCAGGAGACCCAGGUUGAAUCCCUGGGUUGGGAA